rnacentral:rRNA from 1 species
GUGUCAGCAGCCGCGGUAAAACGUAGGAGGCGAGCGUUAUCCGGAUUUACUGGGUGUAAAGCGCGAGCAGGCGGUUCUGUAAGUGGUGUGUGAAAGCGCUCAGGCUCAACCGGGCGAGGACGCGCCAGACUGCAGGGCUGGAGGUAGGUAGAGGCGAGUGGAAUUCCGGGUGUAGUGGUGAAAUGCGUAGAGAUCCGGAGGAACACCAGUGGCGAAGGCGACUCGCUGGGCCUGACCUGACGCUCAGACGCGAAAGCAUGGGGAGCGAACGGGAUUAGAAACCCCGGUAGUCCAUGCUGUAAACGAUGUGGACUAGGUGUGGCGCCCACAAGGGGCCGUGCCGCAGCCAACGUGAUAAGUCCACCACCUGGGGACUACGGCCGCAAGGUUAAA